UGCCCAGCAACUCCUAUCCCUACCCCCUCGUGGUACUGGCCGGGGUACGAGUAAUCUUAGGGAAGAUCUUUGGUCGUAUGCUGACAGAGAAGG
rfam:Aedes aegypti strain Liverpool supercont1.721 genomic scaffold, whole genome shotgun sequence.